rnacentral:lncRNA from 1 species
UCAGGAAGUGAUGCCCUUUGAAUGUUAUUGCCUUUGAAUACACUUUAUUUAACUGUAAGUUUACAUAACUUAGUUUUUUAUAAUGCCCCCACCCCUCCGAAGCACUGGGUACAAUUCCUGAGGGUUUAUCCAGUCCGCAACGCUCAGGGGAGGACUCUGAUCGUCAGUCAACUUCCAUCUAUCCUCGUGGGUCUGCGUGGGCUUUUGCCGUGAUUCCCAAAGCACCACUCUCAGCACGCAUGCAAACAGCCAUCCCCUCCCCCCACUAGCAGCUGCAGCUCUGCAGGCCCAUCAGAGGUCCUAGGAGACCCGAGUGGGAGGGGUGCACAGUUGCUAUCACUCAAGGAAAGACAACAGCAGCAGCAAAGACACUCAGACCGCUGUUCACUUUCUCAGGCUUGGGAAAACUCUUCCAGCCUUCUCUGAUCGGCCCACUUCCGCCCCUCUGGAGCCUGGGAGCCCUGCCCUCUGGAAUAACCCAGCUCCACGUCUCCUAGAGCCGGACCUUGGUAAACAAAAGCCUCGACUGGGGGAAUGUCUUUGGUGCCUGGCAACCUCUGUUUUCGGCCUGGCAACCCCAAAGCCUUUAACAGCCUCAGUCCCCACCCCCAGGCACAAAGGAGGAAACAUACCCACAGCAAGGAGACCAAAAUGCAAAUUACGACCUCAAUAUGUUUCUCUGCAGCCUAGUCAGAGCACUGCGGUGGCAACAACCCACUGAGGCACUGAAUUAAACAAAAAAGGGUUGAGGUUAUGAAAGGAGAGGUUCCAGCUAGAGUUCAAGAAAGUUUUCCAGACCUGCCUGCAGAGAAUUAAACGCAGACACUGUGAAGCUCAGCCAUGAAGGGCCUCCUCUUGCCAAUGAUCAACAAUACAAGCAACUGUUACCCUGACCAGAAAGUUUGGUUGGUUCUUCUGCAAAGCAGAGAUGGAAGUGAAGGUACCUUGGUUGGUCUGAGCAAGAGCAAAGGUAACUGCUCCUCUUUUCCCCAGGUGGCUCUUCAGACUUAGAGGGUCACAUACUGGUGCUGGUCCCAGUCUCUUCUGAUUUCCCUUCUCACCUUCCUUCCUGCCCUGAGAGCCUCUUGUAUACAAUGGAUAGCUCCAACAGCUUCUCUCUGCUGGUCAUGACUCCAGUUUACAAGUGAUGGAAACCCAAGUCGAACUGAUUCAUUAACCGGCUCAUGUAUGAAAGAGUCCAGAGGUGCUGCUAGCUUCAGGCAUGGCUGAAUCCAAAGCUCAACUGGUAUAGCUGGGAGUAUGUCUUUCUCAACACAUGGCUCUGCCUUCCAGCUGGGUUGGCUUCAUUCUCAGGAAGGUUCUCUCCAAAUAGUGGCAAAGAUGACCAUUAACAAGUCCAGGCUGCUACUCUUCUAGUUUAGCAAUCCCAGAAGGAAGAGAAAGCCCUUUUCUCAGUGUUCUGGAAUAGGUCUCGGGUUGAUACUCAUUCCCUCUGCUAGCCUGGUUUGAGCCACCUGCCAAUCACUGUGGUCAAAGGAAUGAAAUGUGCUGAUCAGCUAGAGUCACCUGCCCACCCUGGAGCAAGGGUGGGGGAGGGAUGGCUUCUCAAAGGAUUAUCAGAGUGCUGUUACCA